AGAGUUUGAUCCUGGCUCAGAUUGAACGCUGGCGGAAUGCUUUACACAUGCAAGUCGAACGGCAGCACGGGAGCUUGCUCCUGGUGGCGAGUGGCGAACGGGUGAGUAAUGCGUCGGAACGUACCGAGUAAUGGGGGAUAACGCAGCGAAAGUUGUGCUAAUACCGCAUACGCCCUGAGGGGGAAAGUGGGGGAUCGUAAGACCUCACGUUAUUCGAGCGGCCGACGUCUGAUUAGCUAGUUGGUGGGGUAAUGGCUCACCAAGGCGACGAUCAGUAGCGGGUCUGAGAGGAUGAUCCGCCACACUGGGACUGAGACACGGCCCAGACUCCUACGGGAGGCAGCAGUGGGGAAUUUUGGACAAUGGGGGCAACCCUGAUCCAGCCAUUCCGCGUGAGUGAAGAAGGCCUUCGGGUUGUAAAGCUCUUUCAGCUGGAACGAAACGGUACGCUCUAACAUAGCGUGCUAAUGACGGUACCAGCAGAAGAAGCACCGGCUAACUACGUGCCAGCAGCCGCGGUAAUACGUAGGGUGCGAGCGUUAAUCGGAAUUACUGGGCGUAAAGCGUGCGCAGGCGGAUUGUUAAGCAAGAUGUGAAAUCCCCGGGCUUAACCUGGGAAUGGCAUUUUGAACUGGCAGUCUAGAGUGUGUCAGAGGGGGGUGGAAUUCCACGUGUAGCAGUGAAAUGCGUAGAGAUGUGGAGGAACACCGAUGGCGAAGGCAGCCCCCCUGGGAUAACACUGACGCUCAUGUACGAAAGCGUGGGUAGCAAACAGGAUUAGAUACCCUGGUAGUCCACGC
rnacentral:rRNA from 1 species